AGAGUUUGAUCCUGGCUCAGAUUGAACGCUGGCGGCAUGCCUUACACAUGCAAGUCGAACGGUAACGCGGGGCAACCUGGCGACGAGUGGCGAACGGGUGAGUAAUAUAUCGGAACGUGCCCAGUAGUGGGGGAUAGCCCGGCGAAAGCCGGAUUAAUACCGCAUACGACCUACGGGUGAAAGGGGGGGAUCGCAAGACCUCUCGCUAUUGGAGCGGCCGAUAUCAGAUUAGCUAGUUGGUGGGGUAAAAGCUCACCAAGGCGACGAUCUGUAGCUGGUCUGAGAGGACGACCAGCCACACUGGGACUGAGACACGGCCCAGACUCCUACGGGAGGCAGCAGUGGGGAAUUUUGGACAAUGGACGCAAGUCUGAUCCAGCCAUGCCGCGUGCGGGAAGAAGGCCUUCGGGUUGUAAACCGCUUUUGUCAGGGAAGAAAUCCUUUGAAAUAAUACUUC
rnacentral:rRNA from 1 species